rnacentral:miRNA from 1 species
GUGUGUGUGUGUGUGUGUGUGUGUGUGUGUGUGUGCGCGCGCACACACACACACACACACACACCCCACAUCA